rnacentral:rRNA from 1 species
AUUGAACGCUGGCGGAAUGCUUUACACAUGCAAGUCGAACGGCAGCACGGACUUCGGUCUGGUGGCGAGUGGCGAACGGGUGAGUAAUGUAUCGGAACGUGCCCAGUCGUGGGGGAUAACGUAGUGAAAAUUACGCUAAUACCGAAUACGAUCUAUGGAUGAAAGCGGGGGAUCGCAAGACCUCGCGCGAUUGGAGCGGCCGAUAUCAGAUUAGGUAGUUGGUGGGGUAAAGGCCCACCAAGCCAACGAUCUGUAGAUGGUCUGAGAGGACGACCAGCCACACUGGAACUGAGACACGGUCCAGACUCCUACGGGAGGCAGCAGUGGGGAAUUUUGGACAAUGGGCGAAAGCCUGAUCCAGCCAUUCCGCGUGCAGGAUGAAGGCCCUCGGGUUGUAAACUGCUUUUGUGCAGAACGAAAAGGUUUCUACUAAUACUAGGAGCUCAUGACGGUACUGUAAGAAUAAGCACCGGCUAACUACGUGCCAGCCGCCGCCGUAA